AUUGAUAUGAAGUAUAUAAAAGUAUAUGUAUAUUAUUGUUGCAACCAAGUAAUACGUAUCUCAAUUUUCUCUGCAUGUUUUGUAUUUUUCUCUGUAUAUUUUUCAAUUGAUUAAAAUAGAUUUAUAUGAUUAAAAAAUAUUUAUAUGAUUGUUACAUAUUUUGCUAUAAAAUAGUUAGUUUCUUGGUUUAUAUAUCUAAGCAAAAACAAAAACAAAAAAUAAAACAAAAAUAAAAACAAAAAUCAUGACCGACGUCUAAACAUAUACCCAAAAAUAAAACAUAAAACAGUGUAUAAUCCACACAAUAAAUACAGCCCAAGUUUAAUUUGGGCUAUAUGUCAGACUAAUCUAGAUUUGAGAAUUAAAAGGUCAUUAGUGAAGUGACACAAUUCCUGAACUUCCGAGAAUAAUGAAUUUAAGGCAGAUUUGACAAGAAAGUUCCCAGUUGAGCUAACUCAUAACAUAGGGUCAUAGCAAGGUUAAAUGUAUAUCUAUAAAAGCACAUUGUCUUUAUCACCAAGCUUUAUUCCCCUACCUAGCACCCGCAACAUCAUUCAAUGCGAUUCUCAAAUUUAAAUGGCUUUCGUAAAUACUCUGAGAAGAGAUUUUAUUUGUACUAUGGCUGAAAAUUUAAAAGAGGGGUCCAUUGAGAUGAAACUACAGCAUUGAAGCUGGACAUAACUAAAGCUUUUGAUAGUGUAUAAUGAGAAGCUACAUGGUUUUAAAGCUUCAAGAUCCUUUUAUAGCACACGUGUUCGUUUGCAGAUAACUCUCUUCUCUAUUGCAAAGCAACGGAGGCAAAAGGUAAAAAAAAUCUCUUCACCAUACUGGAGCAAUAUGAGAGAGAAAGCCUCAGGCUAGUUUUCAGGUCACAUCUGCGUUUUUUUCUUUGCUGGCGAAUAGUUCACUGGAACAUUCUUGUUAUAAGUAAACCUUCAUCGUCAGGAUAUCAGGGUAGAUAAAAGAUGAACGUCGUGCCGAGAAGAGAAAUGUGGGAAUGGCAGUCUUUGAGAUGCGCAAGCUAAGAUAUACGCAAAUAAUAUUCAAAGGGGAUGCCAAAGUGUUGUAUAUAUGAUACACUUAGUCAAGUAGCUGGUACUACUAAGGACAAUAAGAUGUGGUGCGAUGCUUGAAUCACCACUUACCUAAAAGAUGGUUAAUUAACCGG
rnacentral:lncRNA from 1 species